rnacentral:rRNA from 1 species
CAGCCGCCGCGGGAAAACGAAGGGGGCUAGCGUUGUUCGGAUUUACUGGGCGUAAAGCGCACGUAGGCGGAUGAUUAAGUCAGGGGUGAAAUCCCGAGGCUCAACCUCGGAACUGCCUUUGAUACUGGUCAUCUUGAGUCCGGGAGAGGUGAGUGGAACUGCGAGUGUAGAGGUGAAAUUCGUAGAUAUUCGCAAGAACACCAGUGGCGAAGGCGGCUCACUGGCCCGGUACUGACGCUGAGGUGCGAAAGCGUGGGGAGCAAACAGGAUUAGAUACCCCUGUAGUCCCUGUCUCUUAUAC